UGCCGCGACCGGCGGACGGGUGCGUAACGCGUAUGUAACCUACCUUGACACGGGGAUAACAUCGAGAAAUUGGUACUAAUACCCCAUAACAUCACCGGAGGCAUCUUCGGUGGUUGAAAACUCAGGUGGUCAGAGAUGGACAUGCGUUGUAUUAGCUAGUUGGUGAGGUAACGGCUCACCAAGGCGACGAUACAUAGGGGGACUGAGAGGUCAAACCCCCCACAUUGGUACUGAGACACGGACCAAACUCCUACGGGAGGCAGCAG
rnacentral:rRNA from 1 species